rnacentral:lncRNA from 1 species
CCCGAGCCGCUGCGGGGACCUCGGAGGCGCCUGGCGCGCGCGCUCCCGCCCGGGCGCGCCCCGCACGUCCCCGCCGGGACUCCGGGAGGGGUGCUGGCGGGGAGCGCGACCCCCUGGCCAAGGUCUACCGGCAGGACGUCUCCCGUCGCCCCCAUAGGAGAGGGUCCCCGCGGCCUCCAGGCUGCGCCCACGUGCGCGCAGGGUCGUCCGUCGCCCCGAGCGCCUGCUCUCCGGCCUGGGCGUGGGAGGCGCCUAGGAAGAGAGCCGAUCUGGAGUAGGCACCCGGCGGCCGGGAGGCUGGAAGGCGUCUGCCCCCAAGAGCGCCCUGGCCGUGCGCGCCGCGUCAGCCCCCUUGGCAGAGCCGCGCGCCGAUGAGUGUGGCCACGCUAGGAGAACGCAGCACUGGAGCUGGCCCCAGGCGGGCAGUGGCCUCGGGCGAGGGCAGAAGGGCACUCCGGGCAGUGAAUAGAACACUUGCUUAUCCCUUCAGAGGACAAGCCGGUGGCAGGCCUGGAGGCCCCAGUGACGGGAUUCAUUUAGGAAAUAGAACCCCCAAAACUCGGUGGCCAGUUGGAGAGGAAGGAAGGCCAAUUGGAAGGAGAGGGAAGGAGAAAUCUUGGGAGGCUUCCAGGUUUUCUGGCCCAAGGAAUUGGGUCACCUAGUGGGUCACUGACCUACAGGAAUUCCUUCUCUUAGCAAGAACUUUCCUUCUGACCACAAGUUGGGUAGAUGGCCCAGGAAUAAUCCAAGGCAACAUCUCAUCUCCUCACCAAGGUGAUUGGGCAAAAAGGCACCUUGGUGCGAUACAAGCCCAAUGAGAAUUAUUCCAUGUUCUUGCUACUUGGACACAGGGAGAAAGCAACUCAAGUGGAAAGAAAGCAGCUUAUUGUUCAGGUAGGUUUCUGUCACUUGCA